GUCUCUGUGGCGCAAUGGAUAGCGCAUUGGACUUCUAAUUCAAAGGCUGUGGGUUCGAGUCCCACCAGAGUUGUUACU